UACGUAGGGGGCAAGCGUUGUCCGGAUUUAUUGGGCGUAAAGAGCGUGUAGGCGGCCAUACAGGUCCGUUGUGAAAACUGGAGGCUUAACCUCCAGACGUCGAUGGAAACCGUAUGGCUAGAGUCCGGAAGAGGAGAAUGGAAUUCCUGGUGUAGCGGUGAAACGCGCAGAUAUCAGGAAGAACACCCGUGGCGAAGGCGGUUCUCUGGGACGGUACUGACGCUGAGACGCGAAAGCGUGGGGAGCGAACAGG
rnacentral:rRNA from 1 species